rnacentral:rRNA from 1 species
UACGUAGGGUGCGAGCGUUACCCGGAUUUACUGGGCGUAAAGCGCGUGUAGGCGGCCUGACAGGUCUGCUGUGAAAACUCGAGGCUCAACCUCGAGAUGUCGGCGGAAACCGUCUGGCUAGAGUCCGGAAGAGGAGAGUGGAAUUCCUGGUGUAGCGGUGAAAUGCGCAGAUAUCAGGAAGAACACCUAUGGCGAAGGCAGCUCUCUGGGACGGUACUGACGCUGAGACGCGAAAGCGUGGGGAGCGAACAGG